rnacentral:rRNA from 1 species
UUUUUUGAGUCCUAGUACGCAAGGAAUGGUCUCAGCGAUGCUCGACUAUAUUGGCCCCAUCGAUGUAAUUAACUUCUGGCUGCUGCAAAGAAGGAGAACAAAAGGUUUAGGGAUUAAUAAGAUCACCUUCUUAUAUGCCAUGUGGGUGCAUAGCCCCUGGCAUACU